rnacentral:rRNA from 1 species
UACGUAGGGGGCAAGCGUUGUCCGGAAUCAUUGGGCGUAAAGAGCGCGUAGGCGGCCCAGUAAGUCCGCUCUGAAAGUCAGGGGCUCAACCCCUGGAUGCGGGUGGAUACUGCUGGGCUAGAGUCCGGAAGAGGUGAGUGGAAUUCCUGGUGUAGCGGUGAAAUGCGCAGAUAUCAGGAGGAACACCGAUGGCGAAGGCAGCUCACUGGGACGGUGACUGACGCUGAGGCGCGAAAGCGUGGGGAGCAAACAGG